GUGCUUGAUUCGGCAGCACAUAUACUAAAAUUGGAACGAUACAGAGAAGAUUAGCAUGGCCCCUGCACAAAGAAUGACAUGCAAAUUCAUGAAGCGUUCCAUAUUUAA